rnacentral:miRNA from 1 species
UUUGGGUGACGCUGCGCUGAUAUU